AGAAAUACAUUUUUUUUUAAUGAACCAGACAUGUCGUGUGGGAGAGUUGCCGAUUAUAUUAGAAAGAAGAUGAAGUUCAGACCGAACAAAAAACAAUGCAAACACCGAUAGAUUGGAUUGGGUCAUGAACGCAUGCCGCACCACGUUCUCACGCGCAACUCAAAUGUAGAACACAUCGGCCGGUUGGAUUGGGACAUCAACACGCACCGAAC
rnacentral:lncRNA from 1 species